CUGGUUUACAUCUUUGUAAAACUGUGUUCAAAUGUCAUCAUUCAUUAAGCCCAGUUUAGUCAUAUACUGUCCAUAGAGUGCACCAGUCACCUGGACCACAGUCCCUUGUCCUGACUGGCAGCUCUGUUUUCUGGGGCCUUUAUUUUGUGUCUGAUAAUUAUUUGGACAUCAGCUUUCAGUUGGCUCAGAGAAGACUGCUUAGGAUCCUUCAGUUGGUAGUUCAGAGCUCAGCUCAUCAGCUGCCCUUCACCCAUUCCAACCUCUUGCUUGAGGAUACUGCUUAAGGAAGUGACAUCAUUUUCAGGCCAGAACAGAGCAAUGGAUCCCGUGGAACUAGAGUUGCAAGUGGUUAUAAGGCACCAUGUGGAUGUUGGAAAGCAAACCUGGGUCCUCUGUAAGAGUGAUUUAUACACUUUGGCAAUAAGCAUCAAUGCUGUUGAGAAGGUGGGGGAGUCAACCUGCCUUGUGUUGACAGAGUGAAACAAAGUUCUGACCAGGCAUGGCAUGUACUGUUUUAACUAUAGAAAUGCACAAAUUUCAAUGAGAAAGAGCUCCUUCUACAACUUUAUGAAUAAAAAGAAAAAUUAAUAUUAUUUUUGAAGUAGGAAACGGCUUUCAAAGAUUCAGCAAAAUCUUCAUGUAAGCAAUAAUUUUAAUUUCAUAUAAAUAAAUUUUAAAUCAAUUGUCAAACUUUAAGCAGGUUAUAAAUAUUUAAUAAAAGUUCUAAAAUGAUGUUUCUAUUUUAUUGAGUCCCUUGCUUGUUUCUGUAACUUAUAUUAAAAAUGUUGUUGCUCCUCACGUGCUCUAAUUUUAAAUGAAUUACUUUUACUUUAUUUAUUCUCUUUCUCUCUCCCUGUAGGUUUAUGCAGGCCAUGGCAGAGGACAACUCUGAACUGAAUUCAGGUGGUUAGGCCUUUCCAUAAGCCUCUCCACCAGCUGAUCCAUCUCACUGCCCCAUAGACUAUUUUUAGUUUUGGUGAACCUCCUUUCAUUGAUGGGUUAUGUCUCCAGGUAGAUCUUAAAACACAAAGCCUGGAGGGCAACUAUGAGUGCCCAGGUUUGGUAACACUGAAAGGGCUAAGUGAUGCUACCAGGGUUCUUAAGACAUGGAGGCAAACUGCAUGCCACACUGGGUCAUACAGUCUCAUUGGCAUAGAUAUCAAAAGAAACACUCAACUCAAGAAUUAUUAGCAAUCCUGCAGGAAAACCUUCAAUGUUCCUUGACCAAAAUGGACUGUACUACUAAGAGAAGGAAGAAUGAAAUUACAGUUUGAGUAGGAUGCCUGCACUUUAGAGAGCACUGGUCUAUU